CCAGCUGGUGGGAUCGUGCCUGCCUUCCUUCUCUCAGGUCCUCCUGUCCGCUGGAUUACUAGCCCGGUGUCACGCUCCGAUAGGUCCUUAAAGCUGCUGGGUAUUAAUCCUAAUGGUCCCGUUUUCCAUAACCAGUACCCGGACUGCACUAAGAGAGGAGGCAGGGGGAGCCGGUGCUGGACGGUAAGUAUUACACGCACUGUUUAUGUGGGGCUGCCUCACCUCAGCGAUGCGCGAGAAGCCGUAGUGACUCCUUCUUCUCCUCCGCCUCUUCCGUGUGUGGAAAGACAGGGAGAGGCAGGCGACGUCGAGCGUCACUCAAGGCUCGCUCGCUGCCUUCUUUCACGGGCUAGUGAGGUGCAUUUGUCGUAGGUAGGUUACCCGUGGGGACGGCAAAGAGCACAAAGGUUAGUAAGGUGGGGAGAUGCUACAGCUGGAGCCUUCCCCGGUAUCUAAUAUGAGACCUGCCAUAAUCCAGUCGGGAAACGUCUGCACACUAAGGAUACUCAGAACCUGGUUGUGUAUAAACAGGAAUGGCAGCACAUAGAUUAAAGAUAAAGCCUGAAAGGCCACUGAAAAUUACCCUGACACUGCUUCAUGAAAAUGGACUUCCCCGAGCAGUUUGCAGAACUGUAUGAAAGGAAGCAUGAAUGGCAUGACAAAAUUCUGGUGAAUACACCUGAAACUGUGAAGGAAUGUCCAAAAGUUUGCCAAGAUUAAUAGGAAAUCAGUGACCAUUUUAUCUGUUUUUGUUUUUUGUUUUAUUAACUAUCUGACCAACUGAGUAUAAGUGCUGAUGAGGAAAAUGCCUCCAGGUAAUGGUUCAUUGUAAACAGAGAGUUGGGGAAGUUUAGGGAUUUGUAGUUAAUGCAUUUGCAAAUGUUGUCAAACCAUAUACUACUGGCCAAUCUUUUUGCAUCAAUGUUGGUCCUAGAUGACACUGACUUGCAUUCAUAUACAAUACAAU